rnacentral:rRNA from 1 species
GCCAGGGCGGGGUGCUAUACAUGCAAGUAGAACGCUGAAGAGAGGAGCUUGCUCUUCUUGGAUGAGUUGCGAACGGGUGAGUAACGCGUAGGUAACCUGCCUUGUAGCGGGGGAUAACUAUUGGAAACGAUAGCUAAUACCGCAUAACAAUGGAUGACACAUGUCAUUUAUUUGAAAGGGGCAAUUGCUCCACUACAAGAUGGACCUGCGUUGUAUUAGCUAGUAGGUGAGGUAACGGCUCACCUAGGCGACGAUACAUAGCCGACCUGAGAGGGUGAUCGGCCACACUGGGACUGAGACACGGCCCAGACUCCUACGGGAGGCAGCAGUAGGGAAUCUUCGGCAAUGGGGGCAACCCUGACCGAGCAACGCCGCGUGAGUGAAGAAGGUUUUCGGAUCGUAAAGCUCUGUUGUAAGUCAAGAACGAGUGUGAGAGUGGAAAGUUCACACUGUGACGGUAGCUUACCAGAAAGGGACGGCUAACUACGUGCCAGCAGCCGCGGUAAUACGUAGGUCCCGAGCGUUGUCCGGAUUUAUUGGGCGUAAAGCGAGCGCAGGCGGUUUGAUAAGUCUGAAGUUAAAGGCUGUGGCUCAACCAUAGUUCGCUUUGGAAACUGUCAAACUUGAGUGCAGAAGGGGAGAGUGGAAUUCCAUGUGUAGCGGUGAAAUGCGUAGAUAUAUGGAGGAACACCGGUGGCGAAAGCGGCUCUCUGGUCUGUAACUGACGCUGAGGCUCGAAAGCGUGGGGAGCGAACAGGAUUAGAUACCCUGGUAGUCCACGCCGUAAACGAUGAGUGCUAGGUGUUGGAUCCUUUCCGGGAUUCAGUGCCGCAGCUAACGCAUUAAGCACUCCGCCUGGGGAGUACGACCGCAAGGUUGAAACUCAAAGGAAUUGACGGGGGCCCGCACAAGCGGUGGAGCAUGUGGUUUAAUUCGAAGCAACGCGAAGAACCUUACCAGGUCUUGACAUCCCGAUGCUAUUUCUAGAGAUAGAAAGUUACUUCGGUACAUCGGUGACAGGUGGUGCAUGGUUGUCGUCAGCUCGUGUCGUGAGAUGUUGGGUUAAGUCCCGCAACGAGCGCAACCCCUAUUGUUAGUUGCCAUCAUUCAGUUGGGCACUCUAGCGAGACUGCCGGUAAUAAACCGGAGGAAGGUGGGGAUGACGUCAAAUCAUCAUGCCCCUUAUGACCUGGGCUACACACGUGCUACAAUGGUUGGUACAACGAGUUGCGAGUCGGUGACGGCAAGCUAAUCUCUUAAAGCCAAUCUCAGUUCGGAUUGUAGGCUGCAACUCGCCUACAUGAAGUCGGAAUCGCUAGUAAUCGCGGAUCAGCACGCCGCGGUGAAUACGUUCCCGGGCCUUGUACACACCGCCCGUCACACCACGAGAGUUUGUAACACCCGAAGUCGGUGAGGUAACCUUUUGGAGCCAGCCGCUAAGGUGAUUGAG